AGUGAACGCUGGCGGUAGGCCUAACACAUGCAAGUCGAACGGCAGCACAGUAAGAGCUUGCUCUUACGGGUGGCGAGUGGCGGACGGGUGAGGAAUACAUCGGAAUCUACUUUUUCGUGGGGGAUAACGUAGGGAAACUUACGCUAAUACCGCAUACGACCUACGGGUGAAAGCAGGGGAUCUUCGGACCUUGCGCGAUUGAAUGAGCCGAUGUCGGAUUAGCUAGUUGGCGGGGUAAAGGCCCACCAAGGCGACGAUCCGUAGCUGGUCUGAGAGGAUGAUCAGCCACACUGGAACUGAGACACGGUCCAGACUCCUACGGGAGGCAGCAGUGGGGAAUAUUGGACAGAGGGCGCAAGCCUGAUCCAGCCAUACCGCGUGGGUGAAGAAGGCCUUCGGGUUGUAAAGCCGUUUUGUUGGGAAAGAAAAGCAGCAGGUUAAUACCCCGCUGUUCUGACGGUACCCAAAGAAUAAGCACCGGCUAACUUCGUG
rnacentral:rRNA from 1 species